rnacentral:rRNA from 1 species
AUCUAUGACCAUACCAUCCUGAACGGGGCUGACCUCAUCUAAGCUAAGCAGGGUCAGACCUGGUUAGUGCUUGAAUGGUAGACCACCUGGGAAUACCAGGUGCUGCAGGCU